UGGGGCGUGGCCAAGUGGUAAGGCAGCGGGUUUUGGUCCCGUUACUCGGAGGUUCGAAUCCUUCCGUCC
rnacentral:tRNA from 2 species